AAGUCGUAACAAGGUUUCCGUAGGUGAACCUGCGGAAGGAUCAUUACCGAGUUGCCAACACGAGCUGUUGCUGGCCCUCAAACAUUGGGGGCAUGUGCACGCUCUGUUCACACAUCCACCCACACCUGUGCACCCUCUGUAGUUCUAUGGUUUGGUGGACGCCUGUCUUCCUCCUGUAGCUCUACGUUUUUACACAUACACCGUAGCAAAGUCUUUUGGAAUGUGCACCGCGUUUAACGCAAUACAAUACAACUUUCAGCAACGGAUCUCUUGGCUCUC
rnacentral:misc_RNA from 1 species